rnacentral:tRNA from 1 species
GGGAUAUACCUCAGUGGCACAGUGCUUGCCUGGCAAGCUUGAGGUCCUGAGUCUGAUUCUCAGUAUCCACA